AGCGAACGCUGGCGGCAGGCCUAACACAUGCAAGUCGAGCGGACACCGCAAGGUGUCAGCGGCAGACGGGAGAGUAACACGUGGGAACGUGCCCUUCGGUUCGGAAUAACUCGGGGAAAC
rnacentral:rRNA from 1 species